rnacentral:rRNA from 1 species
GGUGGAUGCCCUGGCAGUCAGAGGCGAUGAAGGGCGUGCUAAUCUGCGAUAAGCGCCGGUAAGGUGAUAUGAACCGUUAUAACCGGCGAUACCCGAAUGGGGAAACCCAGUGUGAUUCGUCACACUAUCAUUAACUGAAUCCAUAGGUUAAUGAGGCGAACCGGGGGAACUGAAACAUCUAAGUACCCCGAGGAAAAGAAAUCAACCGAGAUUCCCCCAGUAGCGGCGAGCGAACGGGGAGGAGCCCAGAGCCUGAAUCAGCAUGUGUGUUAGUGGAAGCGUCUGGAAAGGCGCGCGAUACAGGGUGACAGCCCCGUACACAAAAGCGCAUGUGCUGUGAGCUCGAUGAGUAGGGCGGGACACGUGGUAUCCUGUCUGAAUAUGGGGGGACCAUCCUCCAAGGCUAAAUACUCCUGACUGACCGAUAGUGAACCAGUACCGUGAGGGAAAGGCGAAAAGAACCCCGGCGAGGGGAGUGAAAAAGAACCUGAAACCGUGUACGUACAAGCAGUGGGAGCACCCUUUUGGGUGUGACUGCGUACCUUUUGUAUAAUGGGUCAGCGACUUAUAUUCUGUAGCAAGGUUAACCGAAUAGGGGAGCCGUAGGGAAACCGAGUCUUAACCGGGCGUUAAGUUGCAGGGUAUAGACCCGAAACCCGGUGAUCUAGCCAUGGGCAGGUUGAAGGUUGGGUAACACUAACUGGAGGACCGAACCGACUAAUGUUGAAAAAUUAGCGGAUGACCUGUGGCUGGGGGUGAAAGGCCAAUCAAACCGGGAGAUAGCUGGUUCUCCCCGAAAGCUAUUUAGGUAGCGCCUCGUGAA